rnacentral:rRNA from 1 species
UACGAAGGGGGCUAGCGUUGCUCGGAAUUACUGGGCGUAAAGGGAGCGUAGGCGGAUAUUUAAGUCGGGGGUGAAAGCCCAGGGCUCAACCCUGGAACUGCCUUCGAUACUGGAUAUCUAGAGUAUGGGAGAGGUGUGUGGAACUCCGAGUGUAGAGGUGAAAUUCGUAGAUAUUCGGAAGAACCCCAGUGGCGAAGGCGACACACUGGCCCAUUACUGACGCUGAGGCUCGAAAGCGUGGGGAGCAAACAGG